CUUACUGAAACCUCCAUCUCCCAGGUUCAAGCAAUUCUCAUGCCUCAGCCACUUGAGUAGCUGGGACUACAGGAUUUCGCCAUAUUCCCCAGGCUGGUCUCGAACUCGUGAGCUCAGGUAACCCGCCUACCUUGGUCUCCCAAAGUGCUAGGAUUACAGCCCAAAUGACCCUCCAAGACCCUCUGGAGGCACCCGCAGUGCUCCUUAAUUUGCAGCUCUACAGAAUGAGACCGGCGUGGCAGCCCCCUUUCAGGACAGCUCCCGAGAUGCAAGAGGAGCCCCUAAAUCUCACCCAGCAAAGCCGUUUCUUCCUAACCGGGCUGGGGAGUGCCAUGCACUGCCAGGAGAUGGCGACAGAGGAUGAGCCUGCGGAAACCGGGUAAGGGGAGGGCGGAGCUGAGGUGAGGACCCACAUCCCUCAUGCCCAAUGGCAGCACGAGGUGGAAAUGGUUUGCCCAGUCCUCAGUUCUCCAGGACAGAGCUUGAGCCUUCUGGGAAACUGCUUUUCCCU
rnacentral:lncRNA from 1 species